rnacentral:rRNA from 1 species
UACGUAGGGGGCAAGCGUUGUCCGGAAUCAUUGGGCGUAAAGAGCGUGUAGGCGGCCAGAAAAGUCCGCUGUGAAAACUCGAGGCUCAACUUCGAGCUGUCGGUGGAAACUUUCUGGCUAGAGUCCGGAAGAGGAGAAUGGAAUUCCUGGUGUAGCGGUGAAAUGCGCAGCUAUCAGGAAGAACACCCGUGGCGAAGGCGGUUCUCUGGGACGGUACUGACGCUGAGACGCGAAAGCGUGGGGAGCGAACAGG